AUGCCGCUGAGCUAAAUCCCCAGUCCGGAGCCUAAUAUUUAUUAAGCGAGUUAACUAUACAGACCUUCGUGGAGAUUUAAAAAAAAAAAGAUUUACCAUUAGUUGUAUAAACAGAUUCUUCACCAAGGUGCAGCCGCCAGCCUUUGGGGUUACAGAGAUGAGCUUGGGCCUCACUGGGUCGGGUCCAGUUGCUCACUUUGUGCUCUUGAGCAAAACCAUUUGCUCAAGUUCCCUCAUCUAUAAAUAACAACAGGAUCUUCACACGCAUAGUCAUAGAAUAGUUGAGGGUAGAUUCAGGCAAAGCGCUCAGAAUUCUCCCCGGGGAGCAAACAGUGAAAAUGCCAAGUGAUGACGGUGCCUGGCACACACCCACGGUGGCUUUGGAAGGCUGGGAAAAGCUGGGCAAACAGGAGGUGACUCAGCCAGGUGAAGGUCCCCUGGGGACAGGACACAGAAUUUGGUAUCUGCAAGCCCCGGACUCUCAGUUAGCCUGGAGGGGCUCCUGAGAAAGGCUCCUGGAUUGCAACCCAUCCUGCCCACUGCUAGAGCCAGAGUGACUCUACCAAGCCAUGCAGGGGCCCAUUUCUGUUUUAGAAAGGCUCCCAUUCUUUAUCCCCCCGAGGUGCUGGGGACUAAACCCGGGCCUCAUGCAUGCUAAGAAGGUGCUCUACCACUGAGCUACACAGCCCUGCAGCCCAAACCACAACUCUUUAUGGAAGAGGGAUUAGACAGGAGAAAGCUGGACUGUGAAGACAAGGGGUGGAGGGUAAUUUUACAAGUUUGCAAUCAAGUGACUGUAAGAAAGUAGUGACAGGAGAGCUAGAGGUGAAGGCACUGAUUUGAAAGAUGGUGGCAGGGGUAGAACAGACGGGAGUCAAAAGUGGGCUCAUCCAGGAGGCUGCAGGUCUGCACAGCCCACGUCAUCUUGGGACUGAAGAUGUGUAAGCAUUUGCACUCCAAGAGGCAGUUUUCUGCCUCCUCCCCCAGGAACACCGAGAGACCCCGUUUGCCAUUUCUGUGUACGGUCCAGUCACUGCUCACUGGGAUGCUUCUGAGUCCCUCGGUCGCUCAUUCAAGGCAUCAGUGCUCUUCACCAUCUUAAGUUUGUCUCAGCUCUCUCCUGCCAUGGUGAGCCCAGUGCUGCCCAACACCUAACUCCCUUGUGUCUGGCUCAACUCUUAGAGGGCCACAAAAUUAAUUGGUCUCGCAGUGUAGGAGGUCCUCUGUCUGCCAGUUGGUAGGAUAAGCCCACUAAAAUGCCAGUCCCCCUUCCUGAAGUCCACCUUGCUUUCAGGAUUGUACCCCAUCUCUUAGUGUGGGCGGUAAAGCUUUCAAAGCCUGGCUUGCCCCAAACCUAGUACCGGGAGGGAGCAGGAGGCUGAUUUUGAGGUUUCUCUCCAGCUGCUUUCUGUCUCACAGCUCUGUCUCCUACUGCAGGUUGGGGUGGGUACACACAGUUCCCGAGGAGGAGCACCUUACAGUGUGGGCAGCCCCGCAGACAAGCAGCAUGUGGAACUGCUAGUAUUGAUGCACAGCACACCGCUGCUGUGGAAUUUGGGAAUUUGAAUUUUUGGAAACUUUAACUCUGCUGUCAGCUUUAGAGAGUCUCCCAGUUUACCGUGCUUGAACAGAAAUUUACAGACAUACCAGUCUGGAGAUGUUAUACUUUUGUUUGCAUUUGUACACUGGCAGAUGCUCUGUAUUAAAUCGCUAAGGUCUUAUCUUCAUUGGUUUGAUUACAGAAACAAAGCAUUCUCUAAUGAAAAAAAAGUAUGUGGAGUGAGUAGAGGGCAUUGUUUUGAGGUCCAAACUCUAGAAAGUGGAGGCUCCCAGUGGCCACCUCCAGCUGGGAGAGAAGAAGGGUGGUUUGGGCUCCUGCGAGGAUGUGUGGGAAUAACCGGGCCAUCUUCCUAAAAGAUCACCAGUUCCUGCACAGCCGUACCCCCAUCGCCAGCCAAGCUUUCUGUGCUGGAGGAAUUGUUCUAGACCUGAUUCAAAUGGGAAAUAAUCCCCGAGCCCCACCUCCACACACACAGUACCAAGCACUCAGUUAGACUACGUGUGACUGAGGAUGUGAAGUUUAGAUUUCAUGUACUUUUAAUUAAUUUAGAUUUGGAUGGCCACUUGUGUCCAGGGGCCACCUCCUAGGGUGGUGGAGCUCUGUACAUAUCUGGGUUAAACUUAAAAUGCCAGACAGACCACUGCAGUUUCAACAAGGACUAGCAUAGAUCAGAAGGGAAUUAUUGUACUAAUAUGUAAGAGAAAAACCCACCAGGCUCUAUAGGUUAAACUUCUUAUCAAUAUAUUCAUUGUUCAACUAAUGUGAUUUUAGCUGUCAAAUUAGUGCUUAAUAGCUAAAACUAUUAGAGUAGAUACUAUUAGCUCAAUGUACAGGUCAGACACUGGCUUGGCUACUUGUACACUUGUCUCCUGUCACAUGACCUCUUUGUCCCUAUUGAGAAGGGACUGCUUUUUUGUGAUGAUUUUAGUGUUUGGCUACUGAUAAGGAGGAGACAUAAAGGAUGGCCAUGAAAGAAUCAUCAUCUAAAAACGUAGAGCAGAAUCAGCCAUAGUGGCACAGACCUGUGAUCCCAGCACUCUGGGAGGCUGAGGCAGGAGGAAUGCAAGUUCAAGCCCAGCUUGGACUACUUAGUGAGAGUCUGUCUUUGUCAAAAUAAAAAACAGAAAGGUCUGGGGGUAUAGUUCAAUGUGGCGGCCAUGGGUUCAAUCACAAGGAUCACAAAAAAAAAACCAACCAAACAAAAUACAUUACAUGGACACACAGAGAGACACACACAAGAUGCAAUUUGAAUUUCUCUUCGGGUAUUUUUUAGGGAGGAUGUGGAUGUGGAAAGAGGCCAGUUCUUUCCAGCCAAGUGCUAGCUCUCCUCCUAUUUCAUUUCUCUCACUGGGCUGUUUUCUUUCGUGCUCAAGCUCACUAGUCAACACUAAAUGAUUCACUCAGCCUCCUGAGCACAAGCGCUGAUGAGUCCUGCCCACGUCAGAGGGUCCACAGCAGCUCUCCGAGCAGUGUGACCGCCCUGCCUCGCCAGCGCUUGGCAGUGAAGGAGCUCCUUCUCCCCCGCGGGCUGGGCUCAGCUUCCUGGGCCUUGCCGGGUGCGGGUGAUGGUGCCAAUGAUUGUGCCAGGCGGCUCCCUAGGAAGGGCUCCCAGGGCUGGCUGGGCUUCCUCAGCUAGGAACCUCAGACCGAGCAGAAACAAACUCCGGCAGUCCUGCAGGCCUGGCAAAGAUGAGGUCAGGCUCUCUGCAGUGUUCCACAAUCCCAUGGGUCCACUGUAUUUUAUAUUCUCAACAAAAUGGUUGUAAAAUUUAUGUUUCUUUCAUUUAGAUAAAAGCAAUUUUGUAAUUUAAAAAAUAUGCUAUUGGAAGGCAGACAAAGAACCAAGAAUGUGGUGUAGAUUCAGAACUCUGAUCUCCUUGGGGCCCUUAUCAAGGAGGCCAACUGCAAGCUGGCUUCUGCCUUGGGCUCCCCACCCUCCUGCCCCAGGUCCUGAAGUCACCACCAGUGAGGACAGUGUUAUGUUCGCACAUCCUGUCAACUGGAGAAGUUUAGAAGCUUAACUGAGAGACUCAGCAGGGAGUCAGGGAGGGUUCUUUAUAAAAAUCCUCAUCCUAUGUAGGAGGAGGGCACAGAGAUUUUGUGAGUGCUACACCCACGUGGGGUGGCCUGCGUACACUAUAGGGGAGGAGAAGAGGCUUGUUUUCCUCCUUUUUGCUUUGGCUGCUGCCUUGAAGUGUUGCCCCACUGCCACCCCAGCCUGCCUUGGAGUCCGCCGAUUAUGGACUGAAACCUCCAAAAACUCAUAGUGGCCAGCACGGGCCACUCCUGACGACAGGAUAUUGAAUCCAUAAAUCCAUCCACUGACCUACCUGUCCACCUAUUCAUCCAUCCAAUAGAAGUUACGGAAGUGAGAGAACCACACAGGUUAUCUGCAGAAGGCAGGAUGCGGGCUGAGCAAUGGUGGUGCAAAGACCCUGAGGCCAGCCCAUGGGCAGUGUAUUUCAAGAACAGAGACGUCUAUGUGGCAUGAAGGAGAAAGGCUUUUCUCUUUUUUAAUUUGAUAAAAAAUAAACACGAUACCAUUUGAAAAUUGAAAAAGAUGUAUUAAAAUAUUCACAGAAGUACAAUUGAAAAGAAAAAGAACAAAAAUUAUGAACUUGAUAGUCGUCCCCUCCCCCACACAGGAUACAUGUUCAUGGAGAAACUAGACAGGUGUUUUAACCUCCAAGUUAUCCCUUUUAGGUGUUUCUAAAUUUACACGUAAUUUUAAGAGGUCUUAAGGCAUGGGAAGGGCGGGCCUGCCGUUGGGAUGUGACCCCACUGUGGCUUGCAGCCAGGCACAGGGACAGUGAGGCACAGGAAAAGGCCAGAACUUUGGCCAGAGGUGGCAUGCCUGAGUUGGGGGUGGUCUUGGCUGGCUGCUUGGAGAUGUUCUGUGGAGGGCAGGCAGCUGCCACCCUCACAGGGAGACCAGUGAGCCCCAAGGGAUCUUCUGCUAGAACUGGUGCUGCUGGCUGGCAAGGGGUCACUGGGCAGGGUCCCCAAGCGCAAGGGCAGAAAGGAGGUGGCUGGGGGAUGAGGAGGAAAGGCAGAGGUGCUGCUGGAAACACCUCCCACCAGUGCCAGCUUCACUCAGAUGGCCCUCGCACCUAAAGGAGAAAUCAGGGCUACUCCUCCAAGGAGGCAGCACACAUGGGAAGGGACACCUUGGGCUCCAGGCGGUUUGUCCUUCCCGGCUGAAACAGUUGUACGAGGAAGGCCCAGGCAGAGUCUCGUCAUCUUGGGUUCAGCUUGAGCAAUGCAGACAACCCAGCAUGCUUCCCCUCUCCUCAAAACACAUGAAGGAGGCCUUCUAUCGGCUCCUGUCUUCACCGACAGGAAAUCUGGGGUGCAAGGCAGAGGUGACCACACUGUGGAGGUGGCCCAGGAAAGGUGCUCUGUGUCAACUCUGUGCCCCUCUUGAGCUGGACCCAGGAAGCAGGGACACAAACCACACCACGCCCAGCUUCAGCCCACGUGAGUUCAGUGACAAAACCCGAUCCCACUCAUGUGCUCUGAGUGGACAGUGGAACAAAGGGUUCCUCAGAAAACCAAAGACCUCCUGCGUGUGACAGGUGAGUUUUAAACGGCUCACAGGCCCUUUUCCUAUUGUCCACCUCAUGUGCACCAUCAAGCCUAAGUCAGGCUUCACUCCCUGUCUUCAUCCUUCAAGCAUCUCCAAAGAUGACAGAAGACAAGAAGGAAAAAAGGAAGCAGCUUCCGAUAGGCUCAAGUAUGGGAGGAAAACCACCGCUCCCUCCCCCUCAUUCACCCCAGCUCGCUCUGCAGCCAUCCAGGCUCACAGCUGCCGGACGGUUUUAA